UACGUAGGGGGGCAAGCGUUGUCCGGAUUUACUGGGCGUAAAGAGCGUGUAGGCGGCCAAGCAGGUCCGUUGUGAAAACUGGAGGCUUAACCUCCAGACGUCGACGGAAACCGCGCGGCUAGAGUCCGGAAGAGGAGAGUGGAAUUCCUGGUGUGAGCGGUGAAAUGCGCAGAUAUCAGGAAGAACACCGAUGGCGAAGGCAGCUCUCUGGGACGGUACUGACGCUGAGACGCGAAAGCGUGGGGAGCGAACAGG
rnacentral:rRNA from 1 species